UACGGAGGGUGCGAGCGUUGUCCGGAAUCAUUGGGCGUAAAGGGCGCGUAGGUGGCGGGACAAGCGUGCGGUGAAAGACUGGGGCUCAACCCCGGGUCGGCCGUGCGAACUGUUUUGCUUGAGCACUGUAGAGGCAGGCGGAAUUCCGGGUGUAGCGGUGGAAUGCGUAGAUAUACGGAGGAACACCAGCGGCGAAGGCGGGUAGCUGGGCCAACACUGACGCUGAUGCGCGAAAGCUAGGGUAGCAAACGGG
rnacentral:rRNA from 1 species